GAUGAACGCUGGCGGCGUGCCUAAUACAUGCAAGUCGAGCGAACGGACGAGAAGCUUGCUUCUCUGAUGUUAGCGGCGGACGGGUGAGUAACACGUGGAUAACCUACCUAUAAGACUGGGAUAACUUCGGGAAACCGGAGCUAAUACCGGAUAAUAUUUUGAACCGCAUGGUUCAAAAGUGAAAGACGGUCUUGCUGUCACUUAUAGAUGGAUCCGCGCUGCAUUAGCUAGUUGGUAAGGUAACGGCUUACCAAGGCAACGAUGCAUAGCCGACCUGAGAGGGUGAUCAGCCACACUGGAACUGAGACACGGUCCAGACUCCUACGGGAGGCAGCAGUAGGGAAUCUUCCGCAAUGGGCGAAAGCCUGACGGAGCAACGCCGCGUGAGUGAUGAAGGUCUUCGGUUCGUAAAACUCUGUUAUUAGGGAAGAACAUAUGAGUAAGUAACUGUGCACAUCUUGACGGUACCUAAUCAGAAAGCCACGGCUAACUACGUG
rnacentral:rRNA from 1 species